AACUGAUACUACCUGCGGGAACCUGCGGAGGGAUCAUUACUGGAAUGUCGAAAGACACUUCUCGUAUUACCACUGUGAAUCUACCUAUAUGUCGUGCUUCGGCAGGCGGUCAUCCCUUCAGAUGACUCUACGGCCUGAACAAGGUGCCUGCCGGAGUGCCAAAUAUUAAACUAUUGAAAUCUUAUACAAAGUGGAUUUUCGGAUACGUCUUGAAACAAAUAUAACAACUUUCAACAACGG
rnacentral:misc_RNA from 1 species